rnacentral:rRNA from 1 species
CGUACCUUUUGGUUCGGAACAACUGAGGGAAACUUCAGCUAAUACCGGAUAAGCCCUUACGGGGAAAGAUUUAUCGCCGAAAGAUCGGCCCGCGUCUGAUUAGCUAGUUGGUGAGGUAAUGGCUCACCAAGGCGACGAUCAGUAGCUGGUCUGAGAGGAUGAUCAGCCACAUUGGGACUGAGACACGGCCCAAACUCCUACGGGAGGCAGCAGUGGGGAAUAUUGGACAAUGGGCGCAAGCCUGAUCCAGCCAUGCCGCGUGAGUGAUGAAGGCCCUAGGGUUGUAAAGCUCUUUUGUGCGGGAAGAUAAUGACGGUACCGCAAGAAUAAGCCCCGGCUAACUUCGUGCCAGCAGCCGCGGUAAUACGAAGGGGGCUAGCGUUGCUCGGAAUCACUGGGCGUAAAGGGUGCGUAGGCGGGUCUUUAAGUCAGGGGUGAAAUCCUGGAGCUCAACUCCAGAACUGCCUUUGAUACUGAAGAUCUUGAGUUCGGGAGAGGUGAGUGGAACUGCGAGUGUAGAGGUGAAAUUCGUAGAUAUUCGCAAGAACACCAGUGGCGAAGGCGGCUCACUGGCCCGAUACUGACGCUGAGGCACGAAAGCGUGGGGAGCAAACAGGAUUAGAUACCCUGGUAGUCCACGCCGUAAACGAUG